rnacentral:rRNA from 1 species
AUGGCGGCCGGCGGGGCCGAAGGACGGGCGAUCGUCGUAGGCCGGCAGGUUCAGCGGGUGCUUGGCCCGCUCGAUGAGGCUGAAGACGACGGUGUCCUCCUCCCUGGUGAGGAAGCCCCUCACCGUGUCGAGCCCGAGCCCCGCGCACGGGGGCACGACCACGAGCAGCAGCGCGAUCGCGUUGCAGAAGAGGAGGAGAUACGUGUGAAGGGAGGGCGCGGCCAUUGGUGUUACAAUCGGUUUAGCGAGCUGUUACUCAUGGAUCACCGCCGUCUCGAGGUGGAACUUGGGCAGGAGCACUUUUGCUCUCCGACGAGCAAUUCCACCGGGGAUACUGGGAAAUCGAAGUCAUCAUCAUCACCAACAACCCUCUCAUCAUGGGAGGACCAAUCUUCUUGA